GGCCGUGGGCUGCGUGCUAUACAUGCAAGUCGAGCGAACAGACGAGGAGCUUGCUCCUCUGACGUUAGCGGCGGCUUGAAAGGAAACACGUGGAUAACCUACCUAUAAGACUGGGAUAACUUCGGGAAACCGGAGCUAAUACCGGAUAAUAUAUUGAACCGCAUGGUUCAAUAGUGAAAGACGGUUUUGCUGUCACUUAUAGAUGGAUCCGCGCCGCAUUAGCUAGUUGGUAAGGUAACGGCUUACCAAGGCAACGAUGCGUAGCCGACCUGAGAGGGUGAUCGGCCACACUGGAACUGAGACACGGUCCAGACUCCUACGGGAGGCAGCAGUAGGGAAUCUUCCGCAAUGGGCGAAAGCCUGACGGAGCAACGCCGCGUGAGUGAUGAAGGUCUUCGGAUCGUAAAACUCUGUUAUUAGGGAAGAACAAAUGUGUAAGUAACUAUGCACGUCUUGACGGUACCUAAUCAGAAAGCCACGGCUAACUACGUGCCAGCAGCCGCGGUAAUACGUAGGUGGCAAGCGUUAUCCGGAAUUAUUGGGCGUAAAGCGCGCGUAGGCGGUUUUUUAAGUCUGAUGUGAAAGCCCACGGCUCAACCGUGGAGGGUCAUUGGAAACUGGAAAACUUGAGUGCAGAAGAGGAAAGUGGAAUUCCAUGUGUAGCGGUGAAAUGCGCAGAGAUAUGGAGGAACACCAGUGGCGAAGGCGACUUUCUGGUCUGUAACUGACGCUGAUGUGCGAAAGCGUGGGGAUCAAGCAGGAUUAUAUACCCUGCUAGUCCACGCCCGUAAACGACGACUGGUGAGUUUCUAGGGGGUUUUCGGCCCCUUAGUUCUGCAGA
rnacentral:rRNA from 1 species